rnacentral:rRNA from 1 species
UACGAAGGGGGCUAGCGUUGUUCGGAAUUACUGGGCGUAAAGCGCACGUAGGCGGAUCGUUAAGUCGGGGGUGAAAUCCUGGAGCUCAACUCCAGAACUGCCUUCGAUACUGGCGAUCUUGGGUCCGGAAGAGGUGAGUGGAACUCCUAGUGUAGAGGUGGAAUUCGUAGAUAUUAGGAAGAACACCAGUGGCGAAGGCGGCUCACUGGUCCGGUACUGACGCUGAGGUGCGAAAGCGUGGGGAGCAAACAGG